rnacentral:rRNA from 1 species
AGAAGGCAGCAGGCGCGCAAAUUACCCACUCCCGGCACGGGGAGGUAGUGACGAAAAAUAACGAUACGGGACUCAUCCGAGGCCCCGUAAUCGGAAUGAGUACACUUUAAAUCCUUUAACAAGGAUCCAUUGGAGGGCAAGUCUGGUGCCAGCAGCCGCGGUAAUUCCAGCUCCAAUAGCGUAUAUUAAAGUUGUUGCGGUUAAAAAGCUCGUAGUUGAAUCUGUGUGUCACGAUGUUGGUUCACCGCUCGCGGUGUUCAACUAGCAUGCCGUGAGACGUCCUACCGGUGGGCUUAGCUUUUUACGGGGCGGUCCAACUAAUAUCCCAUCGCGGUGCUCUUUAUUGAGUGUCGAGGUGGGCCGGUACGUUUACUUUGAACAAAUUAGAGUGCUUAAAGCAGGCUAUCUUCGCCUGAAUACUGUGUGCAUGGAAUAAUGGAAUAGGACCUCGGUUCUAUUUUGUUGGUUUUCGGAACCCCGAGGUAAUGAUUAAUAGGGACAGAUGGGGGCAUUCGUAUUGCGACGUUAGAGGUGAAAUUCUUGGAUCGUCGCAAGACGGACAGAAGCGAAAGCAUUUGCCAAAAAUGUUUUCAUUAAUCAAGAACGAAAGUUAGAGGUUCGAAGGCGAUCAGAUACCGCCCUAGUUCUAACCAUAAACGAUGCCAGCUAGCGAUCCGCCGAAGUUCCUCCGAUGACUCGGCGGGCAGCUUCCGGGAAACCAAAGCUUUUGGGUUCCGGGGGAAGUAUGGUUGCAAAGCUGAAACUUAAAGGAAUUGACGGAAGGGCACCACCAGGAGUGGAGCCUGCGGCUUAAUUUGACUCAACACGGGAAACCUCACCAGGCCCGGACACCGGAAGGAUUGACAGAUUGAUAGCUCUUUCUUGAUUCGGUGGGUGGUGGUGCAUGGCCGUUCUUAGUUGGUGGA